rnacentral:RNase_P_RNA from 1 species
GAAGUUUGACAGACAAUCGCUGGCGGCUUCGCGCCGCGAGAGGAAAGUCCGGGCUCCGCAGGGCAGAAUGCUGGAUAACGUCCAGUCGGCGCGAGUCGAAGGAUAGGGCCACAGAAAUGGACCGCCGAUGGCUGCUUCGGCAGAUCAGGCAAGGGUGGAACCGUGGUGUAAGAGACCACGAGGGGCACUGGCGACUUUGUCCCUGGUAAACCCCAUUUGGAGCAAGACCUAGGAGAACGUGGGCAGCGAUGCCAGCCCUUGCCCGGGGUGCGUUCGGGUUGGUCGCUUGAGCCCAGCAGCAAUGUUGGGCCUAGAAAGAUGAUUGUCGCUUCCAUACGUGGGAGGGCGCAAGCCCGUUACGACCACCGGAAGUACAGAACCCGGCUUACGGCAAGCUUCCCGG